rnacentral:rRNA from 1 species
CCUACGGGAGACAGCAGUGGGGAAUAUUGGGCAAUGGGCGCAAGCCUUACCCAGCAAUACCGCGUGAGUGAAGAAGGUCUUCGGAUUGUAAAGCUCUUUGAUCAGGGACGAACAGAUGACGGUACCUGAAGCACAAGCCCCGGCUAACUACGUGCCAGCAGCCGCGGUAAAACGCAGGGGGCGAGCGUUGUCCGGAAUGACUGGGCGUAAAGGGUGCGUAGGCGGGAUAAUAAGUUAGAAGGGAAAUACCCAGGGCUUAACUCGGGUGCUGCUUCUAAGACUGUUGAGCUUGAGUGCGAGAGAGGUUAAUGGAAUGCCUGGUGUAGCGGUGGAAUGCGUAGAUAUUAGGAAGAACACCAGAGGCGAAGGCGAUUAACUGGACCGUAACUGACGCUGAGGCACGAAAGUGUGGGUAGCAAACAGGAUUAGAUACCCGUGUAGUC